CCUACGGGUGGCUGCAGUAGGGAAUAUUGCUCAAUGGGGGAAACCCUGAAGCAGCAACGCCGCGUGGAGGAUGAAGGUUUUCGGAUUGUAAACUCCUUUUGUUAGAGAAGAUAAUGUCGCUAUCUACCGAAUCAGCACCGGCUCACUCCGUUCCAGCAGCCGCGGUAAUACGGAGGGUGGACGCGUUACUCGGGAUCACUGGGCGGAAAGAGCGCGUAGGCGGGAUAGCAAGUCAGAUGUGAAAUCCUAUGGCUUAACCAUAGAACUGCAUUUGAAACUGGUAUUCUAGAGUAUGGGAGAGGUAGGUGGAAUUCUUGGUGUAGGGGUAAAAUCCGUAGAGAUCAAGAGGAAUA
rnacentral:rRNA from 1 species